UACGAAGGGGACUAGCGUUGUUCGGAAUUACUGGGCGUAAAGCGCACGUAGGCGGAUUUGUUAGUCAGGGGUGAAAUCCCGGGGCUCAACCUCGGAACUGCCUUUGAUACUGCAAGUCUCGAGUCCGAUAGAGGUGGGUGGAAUUCCUAGUGUAGAGGUGAAAUUCGUAGAUAUUAGGAAGAACACCGGUGGCGAAGGCGGCCCACUGGAUCGGUACUGACGCUGAGGCGCGAAAGCGUGGGGAUCAAACAGG
rnacentral:rRNA from 1 species